CGUGUAGGCUGCUCGGAAAGUCGGGUGUGAAAGCCCUGGGCUCAACCUAGGAAGUGCACUCGAAACUUCCGAGCUGGAGUGCUGGAGAGGAAGGCGGAAUUCUCGGUGUAGAGGUGAAAUUCGUAGAUAUCGAGAGGAACACCGGUGGCGAAGGCGGCCUUCUGGACAGCCACUGACGCUGAGACGCGAAAGCGUGGGGAGCAAACA
rnacentral:rRNA from 1 species